AGGAAGUCAGGCUUUUGCCUGCGACAUAGGGGAAUUUUCCAAUGCACCUGACGUCAAGUGUUUUUAGUUUGGAGAGUUUAUUAAUACGUUAUGUUGAAAAAAAAUAGUCGAGUUAUAUAGAAGUUAAGUGUUACGAGGUGUUUCCUGAGAAGAAGUCAGUUUAGUGUUUGUGUUUUUGUGUGCAUUUAAUGCAAUAUAAGACUGGAUUUUUGGAUUGUAGAUAAGUUAAAGCCGGAAACAUCAGCCGGUCCGAGCCAUGCUUUUAGAUGCAAAGUGUUCAAGAAACCGAGACCAUGUCACCUGUGUCAUCAACCUAUUUUAAAUCAGGGGUCCUGUUGUAGAGUUUGCAAAUAUGUCUGCCAUAAGGUCUGCGAGAGUAAGGUAAGUGUUCGUGCGAUUUAUAGGCUCGCAAAUACUAUUAUUCUUCCCCAUUAUACCUAAGUGUGUAUGUAUUCAUGUAUGUAAAUUAAUAGUUUAAGUGCUAGUUAGAUAUUCAACGCGCCUCUAGAGUUAUGUAAAUAAAACAAGGAAGUACCUAUUUAGAAGCACAAAUCAUAUUUAGUUAUUUUGCAUGUCACUAUUGGACCUACCUGAAAGUCAUUAUAAAUACAAACACCGUUAUUGUUACGCUGGGAAUCGAUUCUAUUUGCUUGGGAAGUAAGUAAUACUGUUUCUAAAAGAGAAUAGUCGUUACGCCCCUCAGUUUCAUAUUCCGAAUCAAAAUCGACCAACUUCCCUAACGUGUUAGCUAAACAGAUACAUUACAAUUUGCAGCGUUGAUCCUAACAUCAAUAUAAACAGCAAGGUUUCUUAUUUUUACGAAUUUCUACGUAUCUGAUCAGUUUCUCUCGAAAUACUCCUGUGGCGGAAAGGACCGCAUCAAAUAAGGGCCAUAUUUGUGCAAUUGUAAAGCAUUCCGCAAUCACGUUUCGUUUUCGGACCACGAGUAAUAAGUUUGCACCCUCUCGUGGUCGUCAAGUAAUAGCGAGAGAGAAAUAGCGAAGUUCGAUAAAAAUCCCAAAAACCAGAAACAAAAACAUCAGACAAAUGAUCUCAAUAACACUACAAAUAGGUAAAAAAUAGAUCUGCUAUGUCAAUAUUUAAAUUUAAAUUAAUUUUAGAGCAAAAUAAAAAAGGGAGUCAAGACUUAGUCGGAGAAAAUGUUUAUCAAAAUAGGCUUCCGCAGAAACAACGGAGCUAUAAAUAAUCGAUAAGUUAAUCUCAAGCAAACGUAACAAUUACAUUUCGGUGGUAUCGAAAACCAAAAUGCAAUCAAACGUAGUAGGGGAAAUCAACGAAAAUAACAAAAUUUACUUUUUGAACUACAGGUCGCAACAGCCUUGUUGAGCUCAAGAAGGGCCUGUACUGUAAAUCUGUAAACAGACAAAAACACAACAAACAAGCAAGCGGGGUAACGAUCGCGCUGCACAAAUUAUAUUGCGAAUUGCAAUGGUAACGUCUGACACGAAGGCUAAUCGUAUACGAAGAACUGUAAUUAAUACUUAAACGGAAUCAAUAACUCGAUUGGCUUUAUACUAGCAAAAGCAAAAUUUGGUUCGAUUACAGAUUGCCCUUACAUCUCUGUAUGUGAAAGCAUAUAAGUGACGUUAAACUUUAAGAACAAUACUUUAAGAUGUACAAAUAAUUAAAUCUCUAUUCAAUAGCAACGUAAAUAGACUAGUAUGAACAAAUUCUUCGAAGCAAAACAAAUAUCGUGAAAAAUCGUUGGUUUUGGUCUCGGAUCAAGUAUCGUUAACUUCAAAAUUAAUUCACAGAACAACGGUAUCUACUAUCUCAACUAAUACAUCUAAUCGGAAGGAUACAAUGCAAACAAACUAAUAGAAAUGAAUGUCAGAGCAACAAAAAUAAUCGUCGACAACAUCGUUAAAAGUCGAAUCUUCGGUAACGAUAAAACAAAGUACGUAUGUAGUAAUCGAGUAUAUUGGAACAAUUGUACGACAGUGAUAAUCUCCAAACGUUUCGGAAAAGAUACUUGCGAUUAAGGUUCCGGAGCAAAUAGGCACAUCUCCCACAUCUCGAAGUAGGUUCAUAGGGGCAAUGUAGUUAGAACGUCAUAAGUCGGUAAAGUAGAAAGUCCAUAUAUCGCAUCACGCCAAUCUUCAAUCUUCCAUAAAAAUAGCGGAUUCAACUAAAAAUGUUAAUUCAGCCACAUACGGCGUGGGUACUGCAUAAUAACCAGGUAGGUCCAACGUAAAAGAAACAACGAUGAGAAAUAAUAAGAAAAUUGUAAACAACGGGGUGAGAUAAUAAAGCCCCCCUGGUCAGAUGCAAAGUUCAGAUCCGUAAAUCCGUGUCGAUGGAGUCACCACAAGCGUCAGAAAGGAAGAAAAGAAUACUCCAAAGAUAAUUAUAGCGCACCAAAACGAUAAUGCCCUUUUCAGGUAUGACCCAAGCCAGUAAGAGUAAUAGCGUAACCAAGAGAAAACAUUUACAUUUACUCAAUUCAAGAGCUCAAAUGGAUAAUACCAAACGACCAGAAAAUAUCGUCACAAGCUUUCAAUUUCAAAAACUUAAACUCAACACCUCCAGUCAAAAAUUCAAACUCAAGUACUCAAAGAAAAAAGUGAAAAAUUCCAAAAACCUAUAAUUAAGAAGCUCAAACCUAAAACCUAACAAUUUCAAGAACUUUCAAACUUUAAAAAACUAAAACUCAAGAACGCCAUCAAAUUAGCACGCACAUUUGAACCGCAAGUUACGAUAAUAUAAUAUACAAGUUAAAAAAGUAAUCGUAAACCAUUUACAAAAAGCGCAUUUC